rnacentral:rRNA from 1 species
UACGGAGGGAGCUAGCGUUGUUCGGAAUUACUGGGCGUAAAGCGCACGUAGGCGGCUUUGCAAGUCAGAGGUGAAAGCCCGGGGCUCAACCCCGGAAUUGCCUUUGAGACUGCAUCGCUAGAAUUGUGGAGAGGUGAGUGGAAUUCCGAGUGUAGAGGUGAAAUUCGUAGAUAUUCGGAAGAACACCAGUGGCGAAGGCGACUCACUGGACACGAUUGACGCUGAGGUGCGAAAGCGUGGGGAGCAAACAGG